CUCCUCUCGCCCAUGCAUCAAUAUCCCUCCCGUUCCUUCUCCUUAUCCACAUGGCCAAACCAAUCGAAGCAGCAGGAAAAAUACAUAUAUAUAUCUUUGUUUCUAAGCAACAACAUACACCAACGCCGCGAGAGAAUGAUCAUCAUCAUGCAUGCCAAGGUGGCGUCCCGUCCUUUUGUGCCCUUUUUCCAUGGGUUUGUUUCCUCAUAUUAUAUAUUUCUUCUGGCCUGUGUAUCUUUGCCACUGGAUAUGAAUGUGUCGUUUUCUAUAGUCUUUCAGGUCACAUAUAAACGGCGUUUUUGAGGUGCCUUAGAUCACACACUUUAAUUUGGCUACAAAUUAUCUUCUACGCUUUUUUAUAUAAAAAGAAGUUUGGAUGUGUUAGCGGUGCUGUGGUCUUUUAAUAUAUUUUCAGAAAAAAUAAUCCAAUAGAUAUAUUUUAAUAAACGAUAUUGGUCAAUGCUUAAAAUAAUUGACUUCAGAUUUUCACAUAACCCAAGACGUCUCUUGUUGUAACACUCUGGUGUUAAGUAAUCUAAAACGUGACAUGUCAUCAUUAUGCAUUAACCUAAAAAUAAGUUUAUUUUGGUUGAUUGUGCUUAGGGAAUUAAAGUGUGUCUAUUUUGUGUUUGGAUACUUGUUGGUGUUUAAAGUCCUUGGGUGAAAGUUUUCCGAGAGCUAAAAGGGGGGGGGGGGGGAACCCCUAAUUUUAAAACCUUGGAUCUGCCCCCUUUUGUGCAAUUCAAAAACUAAGCAAAAUUUGAAGUUGAGUUCAAAAGCAAAGUUGUAGGUCUUGUCAAGAGGUACAACUUUGGUGUUUUGAGUUUUUGGAGUUUCAAUACAAAAUUCAAAGUAAUUUUGAAAAUGCAAAUUUCCGAAAAGUGUUCCCUUUUCUAAUUUAAAUCUCCAAUUCAAAAUCUAUUUGGAAUUUUAAAAAAUGGUCAACAUGAAAGUUAUAGGGCUUGAAAAAUUGAACAACUUUCAUGUCGGGAGUUUUUCAAGUUGUUUUGGAAAAUCAAAAGUAAUUUUGGAAUUUCUAAUCUGCCCCAAUUCAAAAUUAGAAUUUUUCCCAACUUGAGAUUUGGAUUUCAAACUGUUUGGCUCAAAUUCAUCCCUUUCCAUUUGAAAUCAGCCUUGGACCCUUAAAGAUGUUUUGUAGUAUUCAAAAUUCUAAACAAGUUUUAUUUUGGCAGAAAUUUGACUUCUGUUCAAAUUUUUGUUGUUUUUCGCAAAAAGGCAGAAGGGGCUUUUGGGGAAGGGGGGGGAUAAGUUCUAGCCCCUGUUCACGGCGGUGGACCGCCGAGCUUGGGCCGGCGUUUGCCAGCGCGUGAGCGCCGUGUCACCUCGUCCCAACAUGCAUCCGUCUCCGUGGCAUCGAGUAGCAGCUGCUGGCGCCUCUGCUUGCUUCGUGGCGUUCCAUCCUGAGCUUGCCGACCUUGUCUUGCCACCGGAGCACCGACGGGCAGCGGCUCGUUCAACUCCAAAUUCACCGCAGCGGUUGAUCCUCAUCCAAAUUCACCGAGGCCAUAAAGUGGUUACCUCCUUGUGCACCUUCCGAACCUAUCCUUUCUGUCUCUUUCGCACCAGGGCCCCGGAGUUCGUCGUCUUUCUCUCCGCCGGCGACAGAGCGCCGCCGUGGGCACUUCAUCGUGGCCUGGCCAUCCCGUAAGGCUUUGAGUCGAGGUGAGGGGCGUUGGAGCUUCACCUUGAUGUCCUACAACUCAUGCUCUCUCUCUUUUCCUUUGGGCGCGAGCAGGAUCACCGGAACGACGCCGUUGAGCUCGGAGCGUCCGCCCGACGGCACCGCCUCCGUUGCCCAAAGCUUCGGCUAACUCCCCGGGUCCCGCAAUGUGAGCACCGUGCUCCUCCAUCCACCCCGAACCUCCCUGUCUCUUUCGUUUGCUCUCUACCGGGCCCUAGUGGCCGGCCGACAGUCGGCCAUGGCGGCCGCCCGCUCUUCUCGUGACCGAGGUGGUAGAGAUAGGGUAGAGUGCGGUUAGAAGGUGCCAACGGGGCCGCUAACUCGAGGCGAAGCUGAUGCGCGCACGUGCGGGGGCCGAAGGCCUCGCUACCGGCCGUUGGAGCGGCGGCAGUGUUGCCGUGCGCGUUGAAGACGAAACUGACGGGUGGGGUAUCCCCGUCAGUGUCUUGCAGAGAGAGGGGAGGGGGCAGGUGCAGCGCGCGGGCCGUCUUGGGCCGGUCCAAGCAGGCCGUCGGUGCAGCACAGUGCAUUUUCUUUUUUCCUUUUUGGUUAAAAAAAUACUUGAUGUUUGAAAUUGUGUAAUAAAUUGUGUAGUGAUUCAAAAUUAGUGAAAAUUUUUGUGUAGGUUCCAGAGAAUAUAAGAAGUGUAGGAAAAAUGUUAGACUUUAUUUUCUGAUAAUUUGUAUGUACAUAUAAAUUGCCUCUGUUUAUUACUAAAUAAAUCUUCCAUGAAUUUUAAUAAUUUAUGGGUAUAUCCAAAAAUCAUGAAAUUUAAUAUGUGAACUUGUGUUACUGUUAUCUAGCUUCAGGAUUAUUUUCAGCUCUUUUUGAUAAAGUAUGCUCUGUUUCUUAAUAAAGCUAUUUAAAAUAAGUAUAAAAGAAAUAGAAAUAAUUAAUCCUUUUAGGAUUUGAGUGGUAUUUUGGAUUGAUUGACAACCAGUGGUCACUUAGCAUGAUAUGCUCCCUGGUUAUGAUUUAUUUUAUAUAAAUGAUCUUUGUUGUUUGAUAGAUACCCAAUAUUGCUUGAUAAAAAUGAUAAAGUUUGUUUAGUAGUAAUCUAUGCUUUGAUAGCUAGCUUGGUUUGUUUCUUUACCAUGAAGGUACGUUGUACUCGAGGUAGUCAUGUUUGUUGUUAUCAUCCAAGAACAUGUAACCUGUCUUUAUCAUGCCAUGAGUAUAUCAUAAUCAUGCAUAUGCACUUUUACGUAUAGAAUACGCUCCGGAAGAAUCUGAUCCUCAGUGGGUUGCUUCCGAGUUUGUGGAUCUUUCGGGCUUUGCUGAGUUGCCAAACUUCCCUUCCGGUCAAGGCAAGCCCCAGACAUUAAACCCUAUCCUUGUAUUUUCAUAAAGUCAUUUAUAUCACUUGAGUUAAUAUGAUGCAUUAGGUGAAUAGGAGUUGGGUGAAUCCUAUUUGCUGCAUUAUCUACCUUGAUGAUUUCAAUAUUAACCUUAAUACUUGUUUUAUGAAAAUACUUAGUAUGCUUAGCCCUGUUUAUUAGAUAGGUUUUCAAACGAGAAAGUUUGAAGGGUUGUUGUGGAAUACUUCUAAGGUCAAUAAUGUUUCAAAUUGAGACCGGUCGGUGGACUUGCUUUAAGAAUGGAGUCUUAAAGUAGUGUCUCCAACUGUGUCGAUUAAGGACCGUACCGUUGUUGGCCUGUUGUGAUUGAGAUCUUUGAGUACAGCCCACAUGCGGUGGUAAGCCUUACCUAUAGCUAUUCCGAUACUUGAGAACGGCUAACCGCGUACUAGGAGUGGAGAGAUGGCGAGAGUAGCGUGUACCCACCUUACGGAUCUGAGAUGACCGGGAAACAUCUAGAUUGGCUGUAGGAUGGUGGUGUACUGUACUCUCGGGUGACGCUGGACCCGUUCUUGUAUGGGAGGAUCUAUAGAAAAGGUUGACAUAUGCAAGAUUAAGUUCUACAUAUGUCGUGUGGUACUGAAUCCCCAGCUGGGUUUAAUCGAUUCGAAUCGCCGUGUUUCCUCGGAUAUGGAGCCUCAAUCCUCACCCCAUCAUCGUAGUAAUAAGUGAAUCUUUGGUAUAAGAAAGAUAUGGUUUGCUUAUGAAAGUUUGAUAAUAAUUUGGUUAGUCAUAAAUGAUAACCUUGAGUUAAAUCUUGAAAGUAGGUUUUACUCUUAGUAAGCUUUUAUGCGAAAGAAAUGCUUUGAUCUUGCUAAAGCUUUACCUUGAAUCCCUAUAGCCUGCAUACCUGAGUCUUCACCUCUUUUAUAGUCGGUUAAGUCUUGUUGAGUACUUUUGUACUCAGGGUUUAUUAACCCAUGUUGCAGGUGAACCUUUUGAUCAACCUUUUGAGGGUCGUUGUUUCUUCACUCUUGUGGAGGAGAGUGAUGAUGAUGAAUCUGAUGUGUGACCUUGGGCAAGUAAAACUUGUUGUGUGAUCUAUGGUUUAUGUAAUAUAAAGUUCCGAACCUUUUAUGUACUAAAUACUUAUGGUUUGUAACCGUUGAACUUAAGUUUCAAUCAAUGUUAUGUAACCUUUCCGCUUUUACUCUGA
rnacentral:lncRNA from 1 species